UCGCCCCCCGCCGCUUGAGCGAGGACCACGACUCGUUUUCCUAGGGUUCCCCGUCUCCUCCGCCAAUGUCUUCCUCCUCCGCCUCCGCCGCCAUCUGCCUCUUCCGCCGCCAUUUGGGGGCCGCCGCCACCGCCGCGGAACCCUGGGGCAGGGCAGCGCAUGCCCGCGCUGCGGGCAGUCUUCCUCCUCCGCCGCUCCCAUCUGCCGCCUCUGCCGAGAUUCGAGGCCUACGACUUGUGAGACGCCGCCGCCGCGGAACCCUAGGGCAGGCCAGGCCAGGGCAUGACCGUGGUCGACGGCCGGUCCGUGUGGAUGUUCCUGUAGGCGUGGGCCGCGGCCUGCCGCGGCAAUGAUGCUACUGCCGUGGGUACCGUGACGUUUGACCGCGAGGUGGUCGCCAUCCCCGGUGGCGAGGAGCACGCUGCGGAAGUAUGUGCCCAAUCUGCCGCUGGUCAUCGAUUUGGUUAGCUGUCUCUAUGUUUCAGCCCGACUCCUACUGCCGUGAAUACAUCUAGCUGUCUCUAUCUCUGCACCGGCCAUCGAUUUGGUUUCUUCAUGUUUCAGGUCAACCACAACCACUGGCCAUCGAUUUGUUAGAAAAAUGAUGUAUCUACAUGUAUUUCAGUUUUAAAUACAUCCAGGGCAGGGCGUGACCGUGUCGCGCAGGGCCGUGCCCAGCAUCGAGGAGGAGCUCAGGUAUUUUCAAAUCGAGGAAGAACACCAGAUUGAUGAUGAUGCGGUAUGCAACUGCAGGACCUGCUCGACCCUUGUUGCCAUUGUGCGCCCUCUAUGGGUUCUGACAUGCCGUCGCCAACCACCAGAGAUGCCACCUCCUCCCCGCGUAGCAAAGUCAAGGCAAUGGUGGUGUUGCGUGCGUUGAUCCACCGCCUGGCCCGCAGCUCGUGCAGCAACGGGCCUAAGGUUAGUCAGCUCAAGGCCUCAGGAGUCGUUCGUGCGAUGGCUUUAGCGGCUGUAGAUUUAUCAUGCAGAUUGUAGAACAAGGUAAGCUUAAUUAGUGAUAUAUACGAAGUCACAUUAGGUUCAUAUGAUCUCUGAGCAGUAAAAUGUGGUCUUUCAUUUUUAUUCAACAUUUUUUCCUCUUGUGUGUCUGGUUGGUUGCUGACUCACACAGCACGAGUUGGUCACACUGUGACAAAUGGGGAGAAUGGCGUGAAGAAAAUGCAAGAGGGGCAGCAAUGGUCGUGGUACAACUACGGUAAGGUCCAGCGGGAUAGGAACAAGCUCCUGUGGGUCACGACCAAGUGGUGCAGGUGCAUGACUCUACGUCUCUCUCUGCCUACUUGUUUGUGCCCUGGUCCAUAGUUCAGAUAGUGUUGAAUCGAGCUGAUCUGUGGGGAGUUAUUGUGAGGAGGUUAGGUUCAGUUGGUGCUAACUCGGUUUCGUCAUUUUUGUGGGGUAUUGUGGUCUGUGGUGCAUUAAAAAAUGUCAUCCUUGCAAAAAUUAACCCUACACUCUUCUUGAAUCCGUUAUUGUUUUCUAUCCAUUUCUGAAUUGUUAGUUGCUGAUGGUAAUAAAAACAAGUACAGUUCCUCUAGCAGCAUACUACCAAAUGGUACAACUAAGAAGUUGAAUCAUCAUAGCUUAUUUAUCUGUCCAUCUGCACUGCAAGCAGUCAAAAAAAUCCAUCUUUUUUUUACAAAUGAAGAUCAAGGCCUCAACACGAACAAAAGAUUGCUCGGAUAGUUAGAGAGGGAAAAAUAUUCAAUCUACAAGAUAAGAAUGGGAAAGAACUAGGUGGCCCAUCGGUCCGGCAGAUUGCUCAUGUUGUUGCACUAGGAUGUGAUCUGAAAGUGUGUGGAGCCACAUGGUGUUCGAGCACCCCCAAGACGUGGAGUCUCACGACCUGAUGUUGUGGAAUCGCUGUUGCCGAAGGCCAACAUGACGCAGGUGAACAUCGCUGGGAACCUGACGCAUGGUGGAUGAUGCCGAGAACCUGACGCCAAAGAGCACAAGGGACGACACGGACUCAUGCCUCAGCGGGCUGGUGUAGGAGCUGGAGAAGGCCAACAGCUCUAUUUGGGAGUAAUUAGCAGUUACCAACGACAUGUUGAAACAAGCAGUUACCAACAACCAAUUAUUCCUAUUAAAAGAAAGAGAGACGCCAUGCAAUUAUCAUUUUAGCUAUUUUUGUACUCUUCAAAAAGCAAACAAUGGUUGAAAUCAAAGGCACUGAAUUCAUGAUGGUAAACCAUUGACAUGCUUCCGAAAUCUUUAUCAUUCUUUCCUGUUGUGAAAUCCACCACAUGAUCAACACUCUGCAAAUGAUAAUUUAGAUAGUUAUUCGUAAAUAUAUAUGAAUAUCAAACCUAAUGAAACAUGGGCAUAAAGGUAAAUGGCCUGGAGAUUUGGCUCUUCCAUUGCUAGACGGCCAGUACCAGUUGAUGCUUGAAACCAAUUUCCAUGCAUGUUAUACCUUUGGGAUUGGCUGCACAACAUAGCCUCUGAACAGAUGGACCCCAAUGUGCCGUUCAACAGUUCGGCCAGUGUUCUAUGCUCCUUAAUUACUGAGAUAAUUGGGAAUAGAUCCCUGAAGAAAAAAGAACAAAAUACACUGUAUUAAGGUGCCCAAAAAUUACUGAUCACUACUGUACUUAACAAAAUAUUGAUCUAUUUGACAAGUUCAGCAAGGGAAAGAAGGUGGCGGAUGUGCUCGGACAGCGACAGACUGAUGCUGAGGGGCAGCCACAUGCGGGCAUCCAUUGAUACAUUUCAACAUAUUGGAUUAUUUUGUUCUGAAUUCUUUAGUCAGGUACCUUCUUUCUCUUGACACAACUUCAGCAACAUGUUUUAUAUAUUUAGAACUUCCAGUUUAAUAGUAGAGAUUUAAUCUCAAUACUUGCUUGCAUGGUGUAAGAAUGUAGAAGUAUGUUUUAUUUUGGAAUCCUAGCUGUAGUCUACAACUCGGUGCUCCAAGAUUUGUUUUUGGCAUGGACUUCUUUGCUACCUCAUCUGCGAUCCCCAUUAUUUGUUGCUUGAUUCUCUAUGCAAGAAUGUUGCCUCAUGGUCGAACAUAUGUGAUCACCUAUUCUCUAUGCAGUUGGUACAAUGAACCCCGAAUUCCUGUGAAAUGUAUAGCAAGGAUUUUCUCCCUCAAAUAUAUAGAUGGCAAUUACACCCUCUGUAAAGAAAUAUAAGAGCAUUUAGAUCACUACUAUAGUGAUCUAAACGUUCUUAUAUUUCUUUAUGGAGGGAGUUGUUGUUUAUGUAGAAAAUAAUACCUUAGUUCUUAAGGGAAUUGUAUCUGAUGAAUUUUGGCACACCAUUUUGACAUUUUAUUGUCCAUCAUUUCAUCUGAGGUGUUGCUUAUUAGAAGCGAACAUAAUGCCUAAUCUACAUGAUAAUAUUAAAAUGUACUUAAAAAUACCAUUGACACCAUCGAAGCCAUGCGACCCCACACUGCUCCGUUGACAUAGAUAUCAUGCAUGGACGAUGAAAGGAGGGUCAACUUGUUGCCGAUUAUUUUCCAGUUCAUAAGAACAUUUGUCGGUACCAUAACAAGUGCCAUACUUAGUUUAUCACCAUAAUAUCUACUCCCUCCGUUCCAAAAUACUUGUCGUGGUUUUAGUUCAAAUUUGAACUAAAACCACGACAAGUAUUUUGGAACGGAGGGAGUACUAGCAUAGCGAUUGUUGUUAUUGGCAGUGGUGGUUCAGACCUGGUUGAUCCUGGGGAGAGGUUGUUUGAUUGGAGUCACAUCGGAUUAUCUCUAUCAAGUGCAAUAGUAGCAAUACCCGGCCAUAGCUUCAGUAUGUAAAAUGCUUGUAGCAUUUGCAAUCAAAAGGUAUCAUCAUCAUUGAGUGGCCUCCGGACAUAGUUCAACUGUUGUUACUCUUUUCGCUAAAGUGAAAUACAUGGUUUUCUGUGAGAACUUAAUUCUUUGAACUUCGAGAUCAUCUACCUUUUUUGGGACACUGCAGGACAUGGUUGAUAAUCAUGACAGUAAACUUUGGUGGAGAUCAAGGCCUGGUUAAAACCAAGUGAGCUUUUGUAGCUAGACUGUUUAAAAUGGAUGAAAUGGGCCAGUUACUGUUAUACAUGAAAUUCUGGACAGUUGUCCCUCCUACAUUAGCUCGUUACACUUACUACAAUAACACAGCGGUGGCGGGUACAGGGGCAUUCCGGCGAUCUGUGGACAGACUGGCUUGAGGACGAGCAGGGGCUUUUGAGAGCUGGGGCCGGCAGCUUAGCGGUGAACAGGGAUGACGGUGUAUGGAAGUGGGCUGUGGUGGGCAUGGAACAACAUGGCCCAUGUCGCCUCUUCAUUCAGCUCAACAUGAUGGUCGUUCAUCUGAAAACAAGGUUGGGAUUUGGGAAGACAAUUAUCUGAGGGUGAUUCAGAUUUGAACAUGAAUGCAAAAUACAUCUGCGAUUUGAUUUUUGUACAUGGAAUAAAUUUUGUAUAUUGUGUAUACCUUUCUUCUAUUAGUAGUUUGUAAAUAUCAUGAAUCCAGUCUUAGGCAUAAACAAGUGACAUCUGAGUGGAGAAAGACAGUUCGCCCACUAAUGUGGUGAUGUCAAACAUUUGAAUUGCGUAUGGAGGUUCUUUCAUCGCAAAUAGCAAAGUUUGAUAGGGACUUACUUUAAUCAGCCA